rnacentral:misc_RNA from 1 species
AGCAGCCGCGGUAAUUCCAGCUCCAAUAGCGUAUAUUAAAGUUGUUGCAGUUAAAAAGCUCGUAGUUGAAUUUCGGGAUCAAGGAAUCGGUCAUGCCUCGGUAUGUACUGGUUUUAUUGGUUCUCACCUUCUAAAGAACCAUGAUGUCAUUCAUUUGAUGUUAUGGGGAAUUAGGACUGUUACCUUGAAAAAAUUUAGAGUGUUUAAAGCAGGCUCACGCUUGAAUACAUUAGCAUGGAAUAAUGAAAUAGGACGUUUGAUUCUAUUUUGUUGGUUUCUAGGAUCGACGUAAUGAUUAAUAGGGAUAGUUGGGGGCAUUAGUAUUCAAUUGUCAGAGGUGAAAUUCUUGGAUUUAUUGAAGACUAACUACUGCGAAAGCAUUUGCCAAGGAUGUUUUCAUUAAUCAAGAACGAAAGUUAGGGGAUCGAAGACGAUCAGAUACCGUCGUAGUCUUAACCAUAAACCAUGCCGACUAGGGAUCGGAUGAUGUUAAUUUUUUUAAUGACUCA